UGGGGUGUGGCUCAGUGGCAGAGCACUUGCCUGGCAUGUGUGAGGCCCCGGGUUCCAUCCUCAGCACCACAU
rnacentral:tRNA from 1 species